UGAAACGGCCAUAGUAAGCUGGUCACACCUGAUCCCUUUCCGAACUCAGAAGUUAAGCAGUUUACGUUCUCGGCGCUAGUCUCCUAAUCGAGGUCAAACCGAGAAGCUGUUUUAC
rnacentral:rRNA from 1 species